CCAGGGCACCUAAGCAUGCGGCAAGAAGACAAUCAUCUGAAAGACAGGAAAAGGGCCCUUACCAAGUAUUGAAAUGGCCGGCACCUAGAUCUUGGACUUCUCAACGUUCCAGAACUGAAUCUUUUGAGACUGGGGCUACAAUCAUCACCAGGAUGAAGAUGAAGAAACAAAAGCUCAGAGCUGCCCAUCCUCCCCUACACCAUCUAGUGAAUCUGGCAGAACUCACCACACUGUGAUUUGAACAUCCUGGGAACUCUUCAGAAGCAGGUGCAGCGAUGCAGCUGAAGACAAGUGCAGAAUACGUCAAGC
rnacentral:lncRNA from 1 species